GACGAACGCUGGCGGCGUGCCUAAUACAUGCAAGUCGAACGCUUUUUCUUUCACCGGAGCUUGCUCCACCGAAAGAAAAGGAGUGGCGAACGGGUGAGUAACACGUGGGUAACCUGCCCAUCAGAAGGGGAUAACACUUGGAAACAGGUGCUAAUACCGUAUAACAAUAGAAACCGCAUGGUUUCUAUUUGAAAGGCGCUUUUGCGUCACUGAUGGAUGGACCCGCGGUGCAUUAGCUAGUUGGUGAGGUAACGGCUCACCAAGGCAACGAUGCAUAGCCGACCUGAGAGGGUGAUCGGCCACAUUGGGACUGAGACACGGCCCAAACUCCUACGGGAGGCAGCAGUAGGGAAUCUUCGGCAAUGGACGRAAGUCUGACCGAGCAACGCCGCGUGAGUGAAGAAGGUUUUCGGAUCGUAAAACUCUGUUGUUAGAGAAGAACAAGGAUGAGAGUAAAAUGUUCAUCCCUUGACGGUAUCUAACCAGAAAGCCACGGCUAACUACGUGCCAGCAGCCGCGGUAAUACGUAGGUGGCAAGCGUUGUCCGGAUUUAUUGGGCGUAAAGCGAGCGCAGGCGGUUUCUUAAGUCUGAUGUGAAAGCCCCCGGCUCACCCGGGGAGGGUCAUUGGAAACUGGAGAACUUGAGUGCACAAGAGGAGAGUGGAAUUCCACGUGUAGCGGUGAAAUGCGUAGAUAUAUGGAGGAACACCAGUGGCGAAGGCGGCUCUCUGGUCUGUAACUGACGCUGAGGCUCGAAAGCGUGGGGAGCAAACAGGAU
rnacentral:rRNA from 1 species